UGAAGUUGGCAGUAGCAGUAGCUCAGCAGUAGCAGUAGGACAGCAGUAGCUUAUUAUUUUAUAUUUUUGUUGUUAAAUGUUUUUAUUUUAUUACUAUGUAAGAUGUGCUUGCACUACUUUUGUUGUUAAAUGUUUUUGUUUUAUCACUGUGUAAGAAUGCUGGCACUACUUUUCUUGUCAAAUGUUUUUUGUUUAAUUACAGUGUAAGAAGCGUUUGCACUACUUUUGUUGUUACAUGUAAAUGGUUUUACUGUGUAGACGAAUUUUAUAUUUCUCUUAGAUAGCCUUCAAAAAAGUAAUUGCAUGAAAAGUACCGUUGUUUUCUUGUUUUAUAUUUUAUUUACAAACGUGUUUGUAGGCGCGUAAGUGGUACUAAUGUUGUCCUUUGUUUUUGUUUUUCUUUAUUUGCAGUGUUAGUAGCGCGUGUUCUACUACUGUUGUUAAAUGUUUCUGCAAUAUCGACCCUACUGUGUCUUAGUUGUACGGAAGUGAAUAACGUGGAAGAUUGUCUUACGUUGAAAAAGUGUUUGUCAAAUCAGACUUGUUAUUCAAACCGAUUUCUUGGCAGUACUGGUAAACCUGUAUAUAAUUUAGGCUGUAUCGACGCUGUCGCAUGCGGUCAAAAUCCGCCUGGAAAAAGAGAAACCGGAAGUGAAUACGAUUUGACAUCCUUUGACGCAGAAAGUAGUUCCGACCAAAAGCGUAGUGAUCCAUCAUGUAUGCAAUGCUGUAACAAUUUAAACGGAUGUAAUAAGAACUUAUGUGGUUCAAAACCAUCAGACAAUUUACAAUGCAUGAUAUGUAGAGAUGUUCUUGAAACAAAAUAUUGUGACAAACUUACGACAUGUGGACAAGAUCAGUUUUGCUUCGUACAGAGAACUGUUAACUCUGUUUCAAUGACACCUCGGUACGAAAUGGACUGUAU